rnacentral:rRNA from 1 species
UACGAAGGGGGCUAGCGUUGCUCGGAAUUACUAGGGCGUAAAGCGCACGUAGGCGGCUUUCUAAGUCGGGGGUCGAAAGUCCUGGAGCUCAGCUCCAGUAACUGCCUCGAUACUGGAGAGCUCGGAGUCCGGGAGAGGUGAGUGGAACUGCGAGUGUAGAGGUGAAAUUCGUAGAUAUUCGCAAGAACACCAGUGGCGAAG